UACGGAGGGGGCUAGCGUUGUUCGGAAUUACUGGGCGUAAAGCGCACGUAGGCGGCUUUGCAAGUUAGAGGUGAAAGCCCGGGGCUCAACCCCGGAAUUGCCUUUAAGACUGCAUCGCUCGAAUCCAGGAGAGGUGAGUGGAAUUCCGAGUGUAGAGGUGAAAUUCGUAGAUAUUCGGAAGAACACCAGUGGCGAAGGCGGCUCACUGGACUGGUAUUGACGCUGAGGUGCGAAAACGUGGGGAGCAAACAGG
rnacentral:rRNA from 1 species